AGCGAACGCUGGCGGCAGGCUUAACACAUGCAAGUCGAGGGGAGCGGCAGACGGGUGAGUAACGCGUGGGAACAUACCUUUUGGUUCGGAACAACACAGGGAAACUUGUGCUAAUACCGGAUACCGAAAGAUCGGCCCGCGUGUGAUUAGAUAGUUGGCGAGGUAAUGGCUCACCAAGGCGACGAUCAGGAGCUGGUCUGAGAGGAUGAUCAGCCACAUUGGGGCUGGGACACGGCCCAAACUCCUACGGGAGGCAGCAGUGGGGAAUAUUGGACAAUGGGGGCUACCCGGAUCCAGUCAGGCCGCAUGGGUGAUGAAGGCCCGAGGGUUGUAAAGCUCUUUUGUGCGGGAAGCGGUACCGCAAGAAUAAGCCCCGGCUAACUUCGUGCCAGCAGCCGCGGUAAUAC
rnacentral:rRNA from 1 species